rnacentral:rRNA from 1 species
AGAGUUUGAUCCUGGCUCAGGAUGAACGCCGGCGGUGUGCCUAAUACAUGCAAGUCGUACGCACUGGCCCAACUGAUUGAUGGUGCUUGCACCUGAUUGACGAUGGAUCACCAGUGAGUGGCGGACGGGUGAGUAACACGUAGGUAACCUGCCCCGGAGCGGGGGAUAACAUUUGGAAACAGAUGCUAAUACCGCAUAACAACAAAAGCCGCGUGGUUUUUGUUUGAAAGAUGGCCUUGGCUAUCACUCUGGGAUGGACCUGCGGUGCAUUAGCUAGUUGGUAAGGUAACGGCUUACCAAGGCGAUGAUGCAUAGCCGAGUUGAGAGACUGAUCGGCCACAAUGGAACUGAGACACGGUCCAUACUCCUACGGGAGGCAGCAGUAGGGAAUCUUCCACAAUGGGCGCAAGCCUGAUGGAGCAACACCGCGUGAGUGAAGAAGGGUUUCGGCUCGUAAAGCUCUGUUGUUGGAGAAGAACGUGCGUGAGAGUAACUGUUCACGCAGUGACGGUAUCCAACCAGAAAGUCACGGCUAACUACGUGCCAGCAGCCGCGGUAAUACGUAGGUGGCAAGCGUUAUCCGGAUUUAUUGGGCGUAAAGCGAGCGCAGGCGGUUGCUUAGGUCUGAUGUGAAAGCCUUCGGCUUAACCG